UGGCGGACGGGUGAUUAUCACGUGGGUAACCUGCCCUUAAGUGGGGGAUAACAUUUGGAAACAGAUGCUAAUACCGCAUAAAUCCAAGAACCGCAUGGUUCUUGGCUGAAAGAUGGCGUAAGCUAUCGCUUUUGGAUGGACCCGCGGCGUAUUAGCUAGUUGGUGAGGUAACGGCUCACCAAGGCAAUGAUACGUAGCCGAACUGAGAGGUUGAUCGGCCACAUUGGGACUGAGACACGGCCCAAACUCCUACGGGAGGCAGCAGUAGGGAAUCUUCCACAAUGGACGCAAGUCUGAUGGAGCAACGCCGCGUGAGUGAAGAAGGCUUUCGGGUCGUAAAACUCUGUUGUUGGAGAAGAAUGGUCGGCAGAGUAACUGUUGUCGGCGUGACGGUAUCCAACCAGAAAGCCACGGCUAACUACGUGCCAGCAGCCGCGGUAAUACGUAGGUGGCAAGCGUUAUCCGGAUUUAUUGGGCGUAAAGCGAGCGCAGGCGGUUUUUUAAGUCUGA
rnacentral:rRNA from 2 species